AGAGUUUGAUCCUGGCUCAGAGCGAACGCUGGCGGCAUGCUUAACACAUGCAAGUCUCACGGGCAGCAAUGUCAGUGGCGGACGGGUGAGUAACGCGUAGGAAUCUGUCCUUAGGUGGGGGAUAACUGUGGGAAACUACAGCUAAUACCGCAUGAAACCUGUGGGUCAAAGGCGCAAGUCGCCUGAGGAGGAGCCUGCGUACGAUUAGCUAGUUGGUGGGGUAAGAGCCUACCAAGGCUACGAUCGUUAGCUGGCCUGAGAGGAUGAUCAGCCACAUUGGGACUGAGACACGGCCCAAACUCCUACGGGAGGCAGCAGUGGGGAAUAUUGGACAAUGGGCGAAAGCCUGAUCCAGCAAUGCCGCGUGUGUGAAGAAGGUCUUCGGAUUGUAAAGCACUUUCGACGGGGACGAUGAUGACGGUACCCGUAGAAGAAGCCCCGGCUAACUUCGUGCCAGCAGCCGCGGUAAUACGAAGGGGGCUAGCGUUGCUCGGAAUGACUGGGCGUAAAGGGCGCGUAGGCGGAUUGUACAGUCAGAUGUGAAAUUCCCGGGCUUAACCUGGGGGCUGCAUUUGAUACGUAUGGUCUUGAGUGAGGAAGAGGGUUGUGGAAUUCCCAGUGUAGAGGUGAAAUUCGUAGAUAUUGGGAAGAACACCGGUGGCGAAGGCGGCAACCUGGUCCUUUACUGACGCUGAGGCGCGAAAGCGUGGGGAGCAAACAGGAUUAGAUACCCUAGUAGUCC
rnacentral:rRNA from 1 species